UGUAGUAAAAGAUGUUACUUUUAAUAACAGAUUUUCAGACAAAAAGCAAGAAAACAAAGUGAACCCAAAAAGUAAACACAAUUGGUUACAGAGAAAACGCACACGAGUUGCACCACAGCUCUCGCAAACGGGGCCCGCCCCCAACUGCCGCGUCGCGAGCCGGCCCACCUGAGGCAAACAUACACACGGGGAAGACGGGGGAUUCAUGCCACAUUUAUACCAGUAUUACGGUAGUCAGAACGGCAACACACGCAUACACGCACACACGCACACGACACGAGUAGCAAACAAACGCCAUCCACCCCAUCAAGGUGGAAAAAUCCUCAGUAGGUUGAAAAUAAGAAGCGAAAAAAAAAUCAAAAGCUGCACAGUGGACCGUUGGAUCAACAGAGAACUUGAGACCUGCGCUGACAUCACACCUGUCGGUUGUCAUUGGUUACCCAUGCCCGGAGGGAUGGAUGUCACGUCAGGGUUCAAAUCGGCUUCCCUGCUCGAACAUUCCAACGAGCAGCAUACCAAUCUAAACUUGACCUAAAACCCUUAAAGGGGUGAUUUUAUGCCAUCAGGGGUGAGUGUGAGAAGACACGACAAGCCGUAUGGAAAACCUGCCUUUUCCUGUGUUUUAGUGACAUCGCAAGUGGAAGUGUCCACCUAGAUGUAUGAUGGAUAGAUCAGUCUACCAGCCUACCCAGUGGACUGUAGCAAAUGUGGCUUAUCUAUGCAUCAUACAUCUAGGAACAGGCAGAUUUUCAAAUGGCUAAUCGCACACACCUGGUGACAUAUCACCCCUUUAACUAAUAACCAUCUUGAACCUGAGGCUGAAACCUAACCCCUUUCUGUCUUAUCUAAACUUAAACACACUUUCAAACCCCGAAAACCCUACAUGGGCCAAGACACUCCCUUAAUGGUCCAUUGAAUGCUGACCUCUGAUCACACAGCGGUCCACACCAGGUUUUAAGAACGAGGCUGACAUGAUUAUACAGUUUUCUUCUUAUUACCUGCAUCCCCAAUGCAAAGAACAAAAGCAAGACAAUUGUUAGCUAAUUUAAGCACAGGUACAAAGUGUGCGCCAUGCAUGUUGGUUUGCUUACUCUUUCCAGUGUCAGGUCACAUGGAUAUGUUUAAGAAACAGUAUGGUGGUCAGACAAGUUUUAAGUAUGGCUUCUGCUUACCCAAGCAACAUGAUAGCUUUUUAUUUGGUGACAGGGUAUUCACAGGGUUUUUUAGUACAGCAAUAUAAGUGUGUUGGCUUAUUAGACAGGCAAUACCCAAACAUCAUAUCAUUAGGGAUGUGGGAGAGUACACAUACUUUUAUUACUCCAUCUCUGUGGGCUGUAUUACAGAUUUCUGGCAGCAUAUCUCUGAAGAAUUACCCCUUGGCCUUGGCUAUGCAUGUGAUGAUCAGGUACAGUACUAGUGCCUGUAUAAGUAUUCCUAGGCUAAUAUAGGUGGGAUGUCAAACAGAAGUGUUUAGAUAAAGGGAAAGCUGAUAGGAGAAGGUGGAGUGAGAAGCCUUCGACCCACCCACUGGGUUUGAGAUAGCCACCAGUAAACACUAAACUCAACUGGGACCGAUUAAAAACCUUGUUCUGCUGAGAAGCACACAAGCAAUGAUAAGCCUCAGUCAAUUUAAUUUAUUGACCACAUCUCAGCCGAUCCCACCUCAGGGGAAACCUCCAACAAUCACCUCAUUGGUCCGAUUUUCAUGGGUUCUGAAAACUGGCCAAUCAGGAAUGUUCAUGACUCACGACCACUGGGGGAAAUUACUUUACAUUUUAGUUGAGCACGGAAUUUAACCGAUAAGGGUUUGAAGUAACUCAACAGAUACAUAAUCUGACAUCAAAUUGAUGACAAUAUGUUCAUAUGAAAUCUGAAACCUGGCCAUGGGAUUUUACCUUUUUAAAAUACAAAAUAGCCAUUAUUGGUAUUUGCAUUUAAUAGCUAGAUAAGUGAUUCUGUGUGGACAGCCUAAAUUGACACAGGAGCACAGUUUUUAUCUCAGUCCAUCAAUAAAACCUGGCUUAUUAUUAUUAUUAGUAGUAGAAGUAUUAUUAUUAUGGCACAAGAGGUGACUGCUAAUCCAUUAAGUGUUGCCAUGGCAUAAUCGAAUACUGUUAUUAGACAUAAUUUCACGUUGAAAUUAAAAUAAUUAAAAAUAAAUCAAUAAUCACAAAUCAAAUGAACUCCCAACACAUUCAAUGUCCAACAACAAAAGAAAAAGCUAAUUUGGUCCGACAUGACACAGUGACGCAGGUAAACAUUAAAAUACUUUCAAAACGGUGCCUCUUCACAAUCAAUCACGCAUGCAACUAAAACCAGUAACUCCAUUGUCCUCCUCGCUCGAUAGGAUGGUUGUUCUGAACACGUUAUAUAUAUAUAUUUUUUUUAUCACGUUGUAAGGCUCACACUGUAUCCGCCUCCGCCUUCUUUUGAGUAAACAUUGACGUAAACAAAGUCGAUUCACCUUAUAUUAUACAAUUCAUGCCAGUUCACAUAUGGCUUAUCUUGAGAGUGUCAAACACACACUUGAUUCAUGUCGUGAGACAUACAUGAAGAUAUUAGCUGAUACACAAUAUGGAGAUCUUAAAUAGUUAUUGCCAGUAUGGAGGGGUUAUUAUGUUUCUGGGGUAUUAUUAAUGCAGCAGGAUUUACAGAUGAACAAACAACACUCAAAUAUUCAUACACGGACAUGCAUGAAGAUCAAUCAUAUUAUGAUAAUUAUUAUUUUAUAUUAUCAAUAUUAUUAUCAGCAUCAUAGGGCGAUUAUUUCAUGAUGUGAUCAAAUCACAACUCUGUGCAACGCUCACAGAAUAUCACGCUGGAACGAGGACCGUGUGUUCUGCGAAACGCAGGGCCCCCAGACCUCAAAGCCACACCCUUACCCCCCACCCUGGCCUGAACCCCACUUUGAACCAGUACAACACAGCCACAAAAGGGGAAUAAAACGAGUCUGCGAUGCGCACACCGUGAACGCCAGGACGCUGAGCGGAUAUGGCUGACAUCUCUCUCGGUGAAACGCGCUAAUGAGUGAAUCUGCAGCUGCUUUCAGCAGACAUGCGGUUGUCAUAGGAAGGGUAGCGCAGCUGUCUGCUCAUCAGUACACUAGACUAGCAGGAGGAAUGUGUCGGGAUACCCAGGCUGGUAAUCAUACGCCAAGGAGAGCAUUACUACCCAUUCUCACUCGACGCUGGGGUGUUGUAUAUCCACUGCAUAAGUUGUGUGUGUAAUUUGUAUGACACUACAGUACGUUUUCUUUGCCAUGUUAAAAUUAAUCCUUGUUUACUCAAAAAAAAAACUAAAGCCAAUGCUUUGAAAAAAGAUCCACAGGUUUUUAGCACAAGAAGUCCUUGGUAUUUAUUAGUUGAGUGACUACACUGUUGUGAUACCUUAUUUGGUUCUGUUGCGUUCUGCAGAAGGAAAAGGCAAAAUAGUGUUGCUUUUGAACCACAGAGAUUAAAGAGUUAUUGCCACGCAGUGGGAACAGGAGGUGCCAGAGCAGAUGUUCAGACACUGUUUUCCCGAGCGGAAUAGCGAUGUUAUUUCACCAAUAAAGCAUAGUUUAUCUCGUCCAGAACAAAGCUAAACUCCUCACUCCUGUCAAAAUAAAGGUUCCGUCUGAUAAGGGAAAAUUUUACGCUCUCUCUCUGUAUUUAACUUGGCAACAAUCAGUAGUAAUCAUGAUACAAAUGUCAAUGUAUAUUUCAAAUUAUAAAAUUGGAACUUACAAUCCAACUAGAAUUAUACGAAAAAUACCAAAAUAAAAGUUUUCGAGGGGGGGAAGCGCAGUGAUGGAAGACGGUGCUGGGAGGGGUUACAGCAGUUCCCAGGUCACAGGUCGAUCUUUAGUCGUGCGUUCGCUAUUUUGACCCAUUUAUAAAAUAUCUAAUCAAACCAAAGAAGUUAGUAUCCUUUGGUCGUGUUUAAAUCAAAGGUUACUUAAUCUAGACAAUUCUGGGUCCACAGCUCUGCUAUUUCUGAGUCUCAGUUGCUGGCUUGUAUCUUUCUGCUGACCUCUAUCCAACCUCCCUCUGCGAUAUUAUAUUGCCUUGGAAAUUUGCGAACACCUCGUUAAAAACAUUUUAAAAGAAACGUUACAAUUUCUGUAAAAAAUAAACUUUGCCAGUGAGACAAGUCAAUUAAAGAUACAAUAAUUAUAAAACCAAACCCCAGCAAAAACGACACUUUACAUCGCAGAACCAAGCUAGCUUAGCCCACGGUUAGCCGUUGUGUCCCUAUAUCGAUAACAGGGGUCACACCCGGGAGCGGUGGACGAACAGAGAGCUCCACUGGCCUUAUUCGCCUAGUGGCCAUCCUGGUUCCAUCUUAACUCACACAAGCUGGGUGGAGGGAACUCCACCCAAUGCGGUAUCCCACAUUCGCUUGCAUUUGGAACCACGACCGCCCCAAGGUGAAUGAACUGGAGUAGGA
ensembl:lncRNA